rnacentral:rRNA from 1 species
AGUGAACGCUGGCGGUAGGCCUAACACAUGCCAGUCGAACGGCAGCACAGUAAGAGCUUGCUCUUACGGGUGGCGAGUGGCGGACGGGUGAGGAAUACAUCGGAAUCUACUUUUUCGUGGGGGAUAACGUAGGGAAACUUACGCUAAUACCGCAUACGACCUACGUGUGAAAGCAGGGGAUCUUCGGACCUUGCGCGAUUGAAUGAGCCGAUGUCGGAUUAGCUAGUUGGCGGGGUAAAGGCCCACCAAGGCGACGAUCCGUAGCUGGUCUGAGAGGAUGAUCAGCCACACUGGAACUGAGACACGGUCCAGACUCCUACGGGAGGCAGCAGUGGGGAAUAUUGGACAAUGGGCGCAAGCCUGAUCCAGCCAUACCGCGUGGGUGAGGAAGGCCUUCGGGUUGUAAAGCCCUUUUGUUGGGAAAGAAAAGCAGCAGGUUAAUACCCCGCUGUUCUGACGGUACCCAAAGAAUAAGCACCGGCUAACUUCGUG